AAACGGGCGAAUGUUGCAUGUACUGACCCACGAAGCGAGUUGCACGGAACUCGAAGAUCUAAUUCCAACAACAGCUAAAAUUGUGAUUAAUAUGAAAUCUACAUAGACUGAUUGAGGCCCACUCAUUACCAAUAAACAGCGAUUAUGCUAAGAGACGUCUCCGCCAAACUCUGGAAUCCAUCCGGCAUAAUCUUGGGAUGAUCAACUAUAGCGGUUAUAAACCCGGCGCACUAAACUCGUAAACAUGGAAACGCAUUAAAUUCAGCGAACCACAACUCGUUGUUUUAUGACCAGCUACAUGAACUUGCCACUCCCCCACCUCCCAUUUCCAUCUGGUUUUGUCUAAGCGUCUGCCAUUAUUUUCAGCUUUUGUUGCACCAUUUUUUACCAUUAACAGUAGCCAUAAAACUAGC